UUCAUCAAAAAUAUUUUUUUAUUUAUUUAUUUUGAGACAGGGUCUUGCUUUGUCACCCAGGCUGGAGUGCAGUGGCACCAUCGUGGCUCAAUGCAGCCUCAAUCUCCAGGGCUCAGGUGAUCCUCCCACUUUAGCCUCCCAAGUAGCUGAGACUACAGGCGUGAGCCAUCAUGCCCAGCUAAUUUUUUUGUCAAGGCAAAAGGGUUUCAUAUGUGACCUAGGUUCUGUUAAGCAAAUGGCCAUGUGCUUUCACGUGCUUCAAUCUUUAUGGCAGGUGCCUGGUCCUAUGGACAUUUUAAUUUCAGACUCUGGCUUAAAGACUUGGAGGCUACACUUCCAAAAGAAAAAGUAACAUAAUAAUAGGUAUGGCACCCACUCUGUGUAGCACUAGCUCCUAGAAUUGGAGGGCUAGAAAUUGAUCUGGUGUCUAUAGCAACUUAUGAGGGACAGUCAUGCCUAGGAAAAUGUUCCCUGAGUGGAUUAAAGUUUUAAUGUGUGAGAACUGGUGUUUCUAGAGGAGACCUAGCAGAAGUGUGAAGGUAAUACUAUAAGAAAAUAAUUUUUAAAGUACCUUUUUUAUACCUUUUCCUCAAACACUUCUUGAGGAGAGAAUAGAUGGGGUUGUUUUUUCAGGGAAAACAAGGAUUUUACCAAGGAGAGAAUGUAAUUGGAAGACUCAACUUCCCCCUCCCCAUCUCAGCUCCCCUUGAGGAUGGUGGAAACUGUUCUAGAAGAGAUUCUGGCUCCAACCAACAGUGAAGUGAGCAGUUGCUCACAGCAAAGAAGGAAGCACAUAAUCCACACAGGAUAGCAUCAUUGUAGACUAGACACAAACUCCCUCUUUCCAAAAAUAGCAGUGGGGAAAAUGACCUUGAAAGGAAGAAGCUGACAACUGAGUUGCAGAGUUCAAUUCAAGAAAAGAAUCUCAGAGAACUCGGUGGGUUCUUGUGUUUACAGUUUAUUUAAUGGAAAAGAGAUUGGCCUAUUCUGGUUUUGAUGCCUGCUUUGCCCCGGGAUGAGAAGGCUUCUUCAUCCACAGCAGAGUUUUCUGGGAU
rnacentral:lncRNA from 1 species